UACGUAGGUGGCGAACGUUGUCCGGAUUCACUGGGCGUAAAGCGCGCGCAGGCGGGUUGGUAAGUCUGAGGUGAAAGCUCCCGGCUCAACUGGGAGAAGCCCUUGGAUACUGCUAGCCUUGAGACACUUAGAGGAGAGUGGAAUUCCCGGUGUAGUGGUGGAAUGCGUAGAUAUCGGGAGGAACACCAGUGGCGAAAGCGGCUCUCUGGGAGUGUUCUGACGCUGAGGCGCGAAAGCGUGGGGAGCAAACCGG
rnacentral:rRNA from 1 species